UCGAGCCACGGUGAAGGGAAACUUUCACGCCGGGUUCCUCGGGGGCUUGGGACCUGAAAGGGUCCCCGGCUACCCUAC
rnacentral:ncRNA from 1 species